GCAGUCGAACGGCAGCACGGAGCUUGCUCUGGUGGCGAGUGGCGAACGGGUGAGUAAUAUAUCGGAACGUACCCUAGAGUGGGGGAUAACGUAGCGAAAGUUACGCUAAUACCGCAUACGAUCUAAGGAUGAAAGUGGGGGAUCGCAAGACCUCAUGCUCGUGGAGCGGCCGAUAUCUGAUUAGCUAGUUGGUAGGGUAAAAGCCUACCAAGGCAUCGAUCAGUAGCUGGUCUGAGAGGACGACCAGCCACACUGGAACUGAGACACGGUCCAGACUCCUACGGGAGGCAGCAGUGGGGAAUUUUGGACAAUGGGCGAAAGCCUGAUCCAGCAAUGCCGCGUGAGUGAAGAAGGCCUUCGGGUUGUAAAGCUCUUUUGUCAGGGAAGAAACGGUGAAAGCUAAUAUCUUUUGCUAAUGACGGUACCUGAAGAAUAAGCACCGGCUAACUACGUGCCAGCAGCCGCGGUAAUACGUAGGGUGCAAGCGUUAAUCGGAAUUACUGGGCGUAAAGCGUGCGCAGGCGGUUUUGUAAGUCUGAUGUGAAAUCCCCGGGCUCAC
rnacentral:rRNA from 1 species